UACCAAGGGGGCUAGCGUUGCUCGGAAUCACUGGGCGUAAAGGGUGCGUAGGCGGGUCUUUAAGUCAGGGGUGAAAUCCUGGAGCUCAACUCCAGAACUGCCUUUGAUACUGAGGAUCUUGAGUUCGGGAGAGGUGAGUGGAACUGCGAGUGUAGAGGUGAAAUUCGUAGAUAUUCGCAAGAACACCAGUGGCGAAGGCGGCUCACUGGCCCGAUACUGACGCUGAGGCACGAAAGCGUGGGGAGCAAACAGG
rnacentral:rRNA from 1 species